CGCUUCCCGUUCCGCAAGACCGCAUUCUGGAUCAUCUUCGUCACACUGAUGCUGCCGGUCGAAGUCCGCAUCUAUCCGACCUACAAGGUGGUCGCCGACCUGCACAUGCUCGACACCUAUGCCGGAUUGAUCCUGCCGCUGAUUGCGUCGGCCACCGGCACGCUGCUGUUCCGGCAAUUCUUCAUGACCAUUCCAGAAGAGCUUCUGGAGGCGUCGAAGAUCGACGGCGCCGGUCCGUUUCGCUUUUUCAAGGAUACGCUGCUGCCUCUGUCCAUGACCACCAUCGCCGCCCUGUUCGUGAUCCAGUUCAU
rnacentral:misc_RNA from 1 species